rnacentral:rRNA from 1 species
UACGUAGGGGGCAAGCGUUGUCCGGAUUUAUUGGGCGUAAAGAGCGUGUAGGCGGCCAGACAGGUCCGUUGUGAAAACUCGAGGCUCAACCUCGAGACGCCGAUGGAAACCGUUUGGCUAGAGUCCGGAAGAGGAGAGUGGAAUUCCUGGUGUAGCGGUGAAAUGCGCAGAUAUCAGGAAGAGCGCCCGUGGCUGAGGCGGCUCUCUAGUACGGUACUGACGCUGAGACGCGAAAGCGUGGGGAGCGAACAGG